UACUUGCUUGCUUUGACUGUCAGUAUUCUCCUAAAAUUAUUGGUCUCUUUGGGCAAAAACAAUGAAGAUAAUUCUAAAUAUUUCGAAACUGUUCCAUCGGGUUUUAAAAAGGACGCGCUUCGUGACAAAUCAUUCAGUUUUAAUUGUUUAGUCAGUUUUUACCUUGGAAACAAUUAAACGACAGUGAAAGCGAGUUAGGUUAGUGUUUUUGACGUUGACAAUAAAAGUGUGUUCCCGAA